AAUAGAUACCCUGGUAGUCCACGCCGUAAACUAUGGAUGCUAGCCGUCGGCAAGCUUGCUUGUCGGUGGCGCAGCUAACGCUUUAAGCAUCCCGCCUGGGGAGUACGGCCGCAAGGUUAAAACUCAAAGGAAUUGACGGGGGCCCGCACAAGCGGUGGAGCAUGUGGUUUAAUUCGACGCAACGCGAAGAACCUUACCAGCUCUUGACAUGUCAGGUCGGUUUCCAGAGAUGGAUUCCUCCCAGCAAUGGGCCUGAACACAGGUGCUGCAUGGCUGUCGUCAGCUCGUGUCGUGAGAUAUUGGGUUAAGUCCCGCAACGAGCGCAACCCUCGCCAUUAGUUGCCAUCAUUCAGUUGGGCACUCUAGUGGGACUGCCGGUGAUAAGCCGGAGAAGUGGGAUGACGUCAAGUCAUCAUGGCCCUUACGGGCUGGGCUACACACGUGCUCGAAUGGCGGUGACAAUGGGCAGCAACACAGCAAUGUGAAGCUAAUCUCAAAAAGUCCG
rnacentral:rRNA from 1 species